AUUCACGGUACCGAUUUCCUCUCCGAUCCGCAGACGCACUUGACCAGCCACCAGCGGACGAGGUGGUAAUCAUUGGCAAUAACUGGCCCCACACCGCUGUUUUGCUCCUCAUAGAGACCUGGAGGUCUCUUAAGGAGAAGUUUGAGUGUCCCACCAUAAAAAAAACAAGCUUGGGAGAUGGUUGCGGAGUGCCUCAGAAAGGAAGCAGUUAAUGUGACAUGGCAGAUGUGUGACAACAAGUGGAGGAACCUUAGGCACAGAUACAAAAUCAUCCAUGAUGGGCAUGGGAAGACAGGACAGGGCCGGCGAAAGUGGGAGUAUUUUGCCGUGCUGGAAGAACUUUUUGCUGGCGACCCAGCUGUGCAGCCCACAGUAGUCAUCUCCUCAACCCCAACAUUCACAACCCCUCCCCCACCACCACCACCAGAUCAGGAAACACCAUCAACUUCAGCUACCAUGACUACGCCACCGGUGAAGCCAAAAA